rnacentral:rRNA from 1 species
GGGGUCCUUUCCACGGAUUCCGUGACGCAGCUAACGCAUUAAGUUCCCCGCCUGGGGAGUACGGCCGCAAGGCUAAAACUCAAAGGAAUUGACGGGGACCCGCACAAGCGGCGGAGCAUGCGGAUUAAUUCGAUGCAACGCGAAGAACCUUACCAAGGCUUGACAUACACGAGAACGGGCCAGAAAUGGUCAACUCUUUGGACACUCGUGAACAGGUGGUGCAUGGUUGUCGUCAGCUCGUGUCGUGAGAUGUUGGGUUAAGUCCCGCAACGAGCGCAACCCUCGUUCUAUGUUGCCAGCACGUUAUGGUGGGAACUCAUGGGAUACUGCCGGGGUCAACUCGGAGGAAGGUGGGGAUGACGUCAAAUCAUCAUGCCCCUUAUGUCUUGGGCUUCACGCAUGCUACAAUGGCCGGCACAAAGGGCUGCAAUACCGUGAGGUGGAGCGAAUCCCAAAAAGCCGGUCCCAGUUCGGAUUGAGGUCUGCAACUCGACCUCCCGAAGUCGGAUUCGCUAGUAAUCUGCAGAUCAGCAACGCUGCGGUGAAUACGUUCCCGGGUCUUGUACACCACCGCCCCUCACA